UUGUCAAAAUGUAAUUUCGUUCAAUUAAAUUUUUAAACUAGAAUGUUUCAUAGGUUAUCGGAAUGGAUCUUUUAGUUGCCUUUCGUUUUACAGUUAUCACGGUGUUACUUUGUUUAAUAGUUUUAGUGCUCAUACUUCGCGUUGCAUGUCCUUAAAGAUGAUGAAAGCGAAUUCGAAAUAGAAGCUGUAUUCCUCUCGGAAGAUGGUUUACAUCAUGAAAUCGGAAAACCUUAAUCUCAUGUGUGCGAUAGACUUAAGGAAUAUAUGUAUAAGAAUUUUCGCAAUAGAACAAUACCGCUAUCGAAUUUUAUAAGAGUUUGAGAUACCAAUGAAUGCUGCAGUUAUUAUGGGAUGGUGUUUUGCUUAUGUUUAAAGAAUGUGAAUUAAAACGCCUUACGUUCCAGUUUUUAAACUAA